rnacentral:rRNA from 1 species
AUGGCCCCUCCCGUCCAAUCCCCGUCCGCCAUGGCCUGCUCCCAAGCUCCACCUGCUGCUCCUCAAGAUCCACACCACCUGCUGCAAGACGAAGGCCGGAGUGCAGUCGAACGCCGCUCGGCGCCGGCGAUGCAGUGCAGCUCGCGGAGCUGCACUGAAGCGCCGCUCGCCGCCGACGGAGUUGCAAUGGACUGCCACUCGGCGCCGGUGAUGCAGUGCGGCUCGCGGAGCUGCACUGAAGCGCCGCUCGCCGGCGACGGAGUUGCAAUGGAGUGCCGCUCGCCGCCGGUGAUUGAGUGCGGCACGCGGAGCUGCACUGAAGCGCCGCUCGCCGCCGAUGGAGUUGCAAUGGAGUGCCGCUCGCCGCCGGUGAUGCAGUGCCGCACGCGGAGCUGCACUGACGCGCUGAUCGCCGCCGACGGAGUUGCAAUGGAGUGCCGCUCGCCGCCGGUGAUGCAGUGCAGCACGCGGAGCUGCACUGACGCGUUGAUCGCCGCUGACGGAGUUGCAAUGGAGUGCUACUCGCCGCCGGUGAUGCAGUGCAGCACGCGGAGCUGCACUGACGCGCCGCUCGCCGCCGAUUUGCGGCCACAGGUGGGGAUCUGUUCGCGUGUGGGGGCGUCUUGUUUCAUUGCAAUGCAGUGA